rnacentral:rRNA from 1 species
GACGAACGCUGGCGGCGUGCUUAACACAUGCAAGUCGAACGAUGAAGAAAAGAAUUGAAUCUUCGGCAGAAAUUCAUUUCGGAUUAUUGGCAGACGGGUGAGUAACGCGUGAGCAACCUACCUCUUACAAAAGGAUAGCCUCUGGAAACCGGGAUUAAUACCAUAUAACAUUUCGACUAAGCAUUUCAAUUCAAUCAAAGCUACGGCGGUAAGAGAUGGGCUCGCGUCCCAUUAACCAAAUGGUGAGGUAACGGCUCACCAUAGUAACGCUGGGUAACCGGCAUGAGAGCGUGAACGGUCACACUGGAACAGAGACACGGUCCAGAUUCCUACGGGAGGAAGCAGUGGGGAAUAUUGAACAAUGGAGGGAACUCUGAGGCAGCGACGCCGCGUGAGUGAUGAAGGAAAUCGUUUCGUAAAACUCUGUUCUAUGGGAAGAAAAGGACUGUACCAUAGGAGAAAGCGACGGCUAAAUACGUG